rnacentral:RNase_P_RNA from 1 species
CUUGUUAGGUAAUCGCUAGCUGAAAAGCUAGAGGAAAGUCCGGGCAGUAUAGAGCAAGACAGUUGUUAACGACAACCGAGGGAAACCUUAGGGAAAGUGCCACAGAAACGAUACCGCCUGAAAAGGUAAGGGUGAAAGGAGUGAGGUAAGAGCUCACAGUUGCUCGUGGUGACGCGAAGCAAGAGGUAAACCCUGUCUACUGCAAGGAGAAUUAUAAAAAAUGGUUGCUCGCCAUAAUUCGAUAACCGCUCGAUUUAAAGAGUAAUCUUUAAACUAGAUAGAUGAUUACCCACGACAGAACCCGGCUUACAGACAGGCUUUU